AGUCAACGUUGGCGGCGUGCGUAACACAUGCAAGUCGAACGAACCUUAAGUGGCUUGCCAUUUAAGGAGAGUGGCGAACGGGUGAGUAACACGUGAGUAAUCUGCCCUCGAGUGAGGAAUAACUUCGCGAAAGCGGAGCUAAUACCGCAUGACACUCUGGAGCAUAAGCUUUCAGUGUCAAAGCCUUCGGGCGCUUGAGGAUGAGCUUGCGUCCUAUUAGCUAGUUGGUAGGGUAACGGCCUACCAAGGUAACGAUGGGUAGUCGGCCUGAGAGGGUGUACGACCACACUGGGACUGCGACACGGCCCAGACUCCUACGGGAGGCAGCAGUGGGGAAUUUUGCGCAAUGGGCGAAAGCCUGACGCAGCGACGCCGCGUGGAGGAUUAAGGCCUUCGGGUUGUAAACUCCUGUCAGAGGUGAAGAAAACCCUUCGGGGUCUGACGGUAACCUCAGAGGAAGCCCCGGCUAACUACGUG
rnacentral:rRNA from 1 species